CCUACGGGAGGCAGCAGUGGGGAAUUUUGGUACAAUGGGCGCAAGCCUGAUCCAGCAAUGCCGCGUGAGUGGAGAAGGCCUUCGGGUUGUAAAGCUCUUUUGUCAGGGAAGAAACGGUGAGGGCUAAUAUCCUUUGCUAAUGACGGUACCUGAAGAAUAAGCACCGGCUAACUACGUGCCAGCAGCCGCGGUAAUACGUAGGGUGCAAGCGUUAAUCGGAAUUACUGGGCGUAAAGCGUGCGCAGGCGGUUUUGUAAGUCUGUCGUGAAAUCCCCGGGCUCAACCUGGGAAUUGCGAUGGAGACUGCAAGGCUAGAAUCUGGUAGAGGGGGGUAGAAUUCCACGUGUAGCAGUGAAAUGCGUAGAGAUGUGGAGGAACACCGAUGGCGAAGGCAGCCCCCUGGGUCAAGAUUGACGCUCAUGCACGAAAGCGUGGGGAGCAAACAGGAUUAGAUACCCUGGUAGUCCACGCCCUAAACGAUGUCUACUAGUUGUCGGGUUUUAAUUAACUUGGUAACGCAGCUACGACGUGUAGUAGACGCCGUCGGGUAGGUACGGUCGGCGAGAAGUUAAACGUUAAAGUUAAAGUUAGUAGUUACGUUGAGAGNGCGACGGACGACGACGAGGAGGAGG
rnacentral:rRNA from 1 species